ensembl:lncRNA
GCAAGAUUAGGCAAGUAUGAGUAUACAGUCAUGAUCCCAGAGCUUCUAUGGAAGGCCAUGUCAUAUGGGAUAUUUAUUGUUUCCAGAAGUACACAUUUUUCUUUCAUCUGUCUUUCCUCUCAGCAAGACAAAUCAAAUAUGCAUUCUAGGGACAAGGCACAGAUUAAAACCUGUGAAGGGUGAAGCCUAGUGCCUAUAUCAAUGGGUCACGCAUCUAGUUCUGUAUCUCAUCCUCUUUGAGCAGAAACAGAAGUCCACGCAACUAGACUUGAGAACCAGGUAACCAGAGGAAGGCAUCUGACCGU